ACCUUUACUCCUGAACGGCGUGCCAGGGGCACCCGUAAGCUUGCUCUCGGGUGACGAGCGGCGGACGGGUGAGUAAUGUCUGGGAAACUGCCUGAUGGAGGGGGAUAACUACUGGAAACGGUAGCUAAUACCGCAUAAUGUCGCAAGACCAAAGUGGGGGACCUUCGGGCCUCAUGCCAUCAGAUGUGCCCAGAUGGGAUUAGCUAGUAGGUGGGGUAACGGCUCACCUAGGCGACGAUCCCUAGCUGGUCUGAGAGGAUGACCAGCCACACUGGAACUGAGACACGGUCCAGACUCCUACGGGAGGCAGCAGUGGGGAAUAUUGCACAAUGGGCGCAAGCCUGAUGCAGCCAUGCCGCGUGUGUGAAGAAGGCCUUCGGGUUGUAAAGCACUUUCAGCGGGGAGGAAGGCGGUGAGGUUAAUAACCUCAUCGAUUGACGUUACCCGCAGAAGAAGCACCGGCUAACUCCGUGCCAGCAGCCGCGGUAAUACGGAGGGUGCAAGCGUUAAUCGGAAUUACUGGGCGUAAAGCGCACGCAGGCGGUCUGUCAAGUCGGAUGUGAAAUCCCCGGGCUCAACCUGGGAACUGCAUUCGAAACUGGCAGGCUAGAGUCUUGUAGAGGGGGGUAGAAUUCCAGGUGUAGCGGUGAAAUGCGUAGAGAUCUGGAGGAAUACCGGUGGCGAAUGGCGGCCCCCUGGACAAAGACUGACGCUCA
rnacentral:rRNA from 1 species